UAGGGAAUCUUCGGCAAUGGACGAAAGUCUGACCGAGCAACGCCGCGUGAGUGAAGAAGGUUUUCGGAUCGUAAAACUCUGUUGUUAGAGAAGAACAAGGACGUUAGUAACUGAACGUCCCCUGACGGUAUCUAACCAGAAAGCCACGGCUAACUACGUGCCAGCAGCCGCGAUAAUACGUAGGUGGCAAGCGUUGUCCGGAUUUAUUGGGCGUAAAGCGAGCGCAGGCGGUUUCUUAAGUCUGAUGUGAAAGCCCCCGGCUCAACCGGGGAGGGUCAUUGGAAACUGGGAGACUUGAGUGCAGAAGAGGAGAGUGGAAUUCCAUGUGUAGCGGUGAGAUGCGUAGAUAUAUGGAGGAACACCAGUGGCGAAGGCGGCUCUCUGGUCUGUAACUGACGCUGAGGCUCGAAAGCGUGGGGAGCAAACAGG
rnacentral:rRNA from 1 species